rnacentral:rRNA from 1 species
AUUGAAUGCUGGCGGCAGGCCUAACACAUGCAAGUCGAGCGGAUGAAGGGAGCUUGCUCCUGGAUUCAGCGGCGGACGGGUGAGUAAUGCCUAGGAAUCUGCCUGGUAGUGGGGGAUAACGUCCGGAAACGGGCGCUAAUACCGCAUACGUCCUGAGGGAGAAAGUGGGGGAUCUUCGGACCUCACGCUAUCAGAUGAGCCUAGGUCGGAUUAGCUAGUUGGUGGGGUAAAGGCCUACCAAGGCGACGAUCCGUAACUGGUCUGAGAGGAUGAUCAGUCACACUGGAACUGAGACACGGUCCAGACUCCUACGGGAGGCAGCAGUGGGGAAUAUUGGACAAUGGGCGAAAGCCUGAUCCAGCCAUGCCGCGUGUGUGAAGAAGGUCUUCGGAUUGUAAAGCAAUUUAAGUUGGGAGGAAGGGCAGUAAGUUAAGACCUUGCUGUUUUGACGUGACCAACAGAAGAAGCACCGGCUAACUUCGU